rnacentral:lncRNA from 1 species
CAAGCACAUACCCUGAGUUGAAUGAAUUCUGAACAUAUAACAAGAUAACGUAUAUGAAGAUAUAAUGACUUUGGGAUAAGUAUACUUCCUAGACCAACCCAACCAAGUUAAUCCUCCAAUAACCAACAAAACUAAGAAAAUAACCUAAUAUGUUUAUAUAUAUAAUGCUAAACCAAAUUGAAAAAUCAUAAAUCAAAUAUAGUCCAGUGGUAUCAUUCAUAAUACCAAUAGCAAUGCCA